AGAAGCAAUAAUGUUAAUAUGAGUAACAAGAAAAUUUUCUCCCUGCAUGAGUGUAUAUCAGAACGAAUGAUGCACUGGUAGUUAACAAAUACAGACAUAACUAGCUAACUAAAAUCUUAAUACAACUGUUAGUCCAACACAGGCUGCACCCAGGAAGAUAAAAGAAGUAAAAGGAACUCGGC
rnacentral:rRNA from 1 species